rnacentral:lncRNA from 1 species
CUAAUUUCCAUUUUUCAGAGGAUUACAAGUCUAGAAAGGGCAACUGGAGGUUUCUGAGCCUAGCUGCUUCCACUGGCAGCAACUUUAUCUGAACCAUCCUCAAAGAUCUCCAGGGAGACAAAGGACCACAUUUCUCAGUGGAGUCCCACAAUCUCCCUCCAGUUUUCCCCUCCUCAGGUCUCAAGGAUACUACUCCAGGGGAUGAUGGCAGUGUGUGGUGUCAAUCCUGCAUAAAAGAAUGUUUGAAGUCCGAGAAAAAGUGUUCUUUUGUAGAAAACAUCCAACAAAAUUGCUCAAACAAAAUGGCCAGUGUUGAGCCAGUUCGCAUGUGGCUGGAUGCCUCCCCCGAGUUUUUGCUUCUUGGCAAGGAGGCCGACCAACAUCAGUCUUCCUGUGCUUUAAUUUUCCUUCUGACCUGAAUUGUCAGUCACACUCUAUCUUUGUUCCAUUUGUCAAAAUGCCAUUGUUCUCUCUCUUCCCUGUGGUAGUUUCUUCUCUAUUGUUAAAAAAAAAAAGUCAGAGCUGCUGUGGGUCGAUGGAAGC